rnacentral:rRNA from 1 species
UAGCGUAGGGCGCAAGCGUUGUCCGGAAUUAUUGGGCGUAAAGAGCUCGUAGGUGGUUUGUCGCGUCCGCUGUGAAAACCCGAGGCUCAACCUCGGGCCUGCAGUGGGUACGGGCAGACUAGAGUGCGGUAGGGGGAGACUGGAAUUCCUGGUGUAGCGGUGGAAUGCGCAGAUAUCAGGAGGAACACCGAUGGCGAAGGCAGGUCUCUGGGCCGCAACUGACACUGAGGAGCGAAAGCCAGGGAGCAAACGGGAUUAG